GAUGAACGCUGGCGGCGUGCUUAACACAUGCAAGUCGAACGGAAAGGCUCCUGCCUGCAGGGGUACUCGAGUGGCGAACGGGUGAGUAACACGUGGGGGAUCUGCCCUGUACUUCGGGAUAAGCUUGGGAAACUGGGUCUAAUACCGGAUAUGACAAUCUCUUGGGGGGGGUUGUGGAAAGCUUUUGCGGUAUGGGAUGAGCUCGCGGCCUAUCAGCUUGUUGGUGGGGUAUUGGCCUACCAAGGCGUCGACGGGUAGCCGGCCUGAGAGGGUGUACGGCCACAUUGGGACUGAGAUACGGCCCAGACUCCUACGGGAGGCAGCAGUGGGGAAUAUUGCACAAUGGGCGCAAGCCUGAUGCAGCGACGCCGCGUGGGGGAUGACGGCCUUCGGGUUGUAAACUCCUUUCGCAACCGACGAAGCUUUUGUGACGGUAGGUUGAGAAGAAGCACCGGCUAACUACGUG
rnacentral:rRNA from 1 species